UUAGUGGCGGACGGGUGAGUAACGCGUGAGAAUCUGGCUUCUGGUUCGGGAUAACAGUGGGAAACGACUGCUAAUACCGGAUGUGCCUGCGGGUAAAAGGCUUGCUGCCAGAAGAUGAGCUCGCGUCUGAUUAGCUAGUUGGUGGGGUAAGAGCCUACCAAGGCGACGAUCAGUAGCUGGUCUGAGAGGAUGAUCAGCCACACUGGGACUGAGACACGGCCCAGACUCCUACGGGAGGCAGCAGUGGGGAAUUUUCCGCAAUGGGCGAAAGCCUGACGGAGCAAUACCGCGUGAGGGAAGAAGGCCCUUGGGUUGUAAACCUCUUUUCUCAGGGAAUAAGAAAGUGAAGGUACCUGAGGAAUCAGCAUCGGCUAACUCCGUGCCAGCAGCCGCGGUAAUACGGAGGAUGCAAGCGUUAUCCGGAAUGAUUGGGCGUAAAGCGUCCGCAGGUGGUUAUUCCAAGUCUGCCGUUAAAGAGUCUGGCUUAACCAGAUAAAGGCGGUGGAAACUGAAAGACUAGAGUGCGGUAGGGGCAGAGGGAAUCCCAGUGUAGCGGUGAAAUGCGUAGAGAUUGGGAAGAACACCGGUGGCGAAAGCGCUCUGCUAGGCCGCAACUGACACUCAGGGACGAAAGCUAGGGGAGCGAAUGGGAUUAGAUACCCCAGUAGUCCUAGCCGUAAACGAUGGAUACUAGGCGUUGUCUGUAUCGACCCGGACAGUGCCGUAGCUAACGCGUUAAGUAUCCCGCCUGGGGAGUACGCACGCAAGUGUGAAACUCAAAGGAAUUGACGGGGGCCCGCGCAAGCGGUGGAGUAUGUGGUUUAAUUCGAUGCAACGCGAAGAACCUUACCAGGGCUUGACAUGUCGCGAAUCUGGGUGAAAGCUCAGAGUGCCUUCGGGAGCGCGAACACAGGUGGUGCACGGCUGUCGUCAGCUCGUGUCGUGAGAUGUUGGGUUAAGUCCCGCAACGAGCGCAAGCCUCGUCCUUAGUUGCCAUCAUUAAGUUGGGAACUCUAGGGAGAC
rnacentral:rRNA from 1 species